GGCUCAGGAUGAACGCUGGCGGCGUGCCUAAUACAUGCAAGUCGAACGAGGUGCUUUGUAGCAAUACGAAGUAUCCUAGUGGCGAACGGGUGAGUAACGCGUUGGUGACCUACCCCAAAGUGUGGGAUAACAGUCCGAAAGGAUUGCUAAUACCGCAUGUGGUCUCUGGAUUUAGAAACCGGUGACUAAAGGAGCAAUUCGCUUUGGGAGGGACCUGCGUCCCAUCAGCUAGUUGGUGAGGUAACGGCUCACCAAGGCGACGACGGGUAGGGGACCUGAGAGGGUGGCCCCCCACAAUGGAACUGAAACACGGUCCAUACACCUACGGGUGGCAGCAGUAGGGAAUAUUGGUCAAUGGGCGAAAGCCUGAACCAGCAACGCCGCGUGUGCGAUGAAGGCCUUCGGGUCGUAAAGCACUUUUCUGGGAGAUGAGAAAGGACAGUAUCCCAGGAAUAAGUCUCGGCUAACUACGUGCCAGCAGCCGCGGUAAAACGUAGGAGGCGAGCGUUAUCCGGAUUCACUGGGCGUAAAGCGCGUGCAGGUGGCUUGGUAAGUUAGGCGUGAAAUCUCCCGGCUCAACUGGGAGAGGUCGUCUAAUACUACCGGGCUUGAGAGCAGAAGAGGAAGAUGGAAUUCCCGGUGUAGUGGUGAAAUGCGUAGAUAUCGGGAGGAACACCAGUGGCGAAGGCGAUCUUCUGGUCUGUUUCUGACACUCAGACGCGACAGCUAGGGUAGUAAACGGGAUUAGAGACCCCGGUAAUCCUAGCCGUAAACGAUGUAAACUUGGCGUUGGUGGGUUAAACUCCAUCAGUGCCGCAGCAAACGCGAUAAGUUUACCGCCUG
rnacentral:rRNA from 1 species